rnacentral:rRNA from 2 species
GACGAACUGUGCGAACGUUGUUCGGAAUCACUGGGCUUAAAGGGUGCGUAGGCGGCUCGUUAAGUCGGGGGUGAAAUACUUCGGCUCAACCGGAGAAUUGCCUUCGAUACUGGCGGGCUUGAGGAAGGUAGGGGUCGCGGGAACUGCCAGUGGAGCGGUGAAAUGCGUUGAUAUUGGCAGGAACGCCGGUGGUGAAGACGCGCGGCUGGACCUUUUCUGACGCUGAUGCACGAAAGCCAGGGGAGCAAACGGG